rnacentral:rRNA from 1 species
CAGCCGUAAACUAUGCGCGUUAGGUGUAUCGGUGACCACGAGUUACCGAGGUGCCGAAGGGAAACCGUGAAACGUGCCGCCUGGGAAGUACGGUCGCAAGGCUGAAACUUAAAGGAAUUGGCGGGGGAGCACAACAACGGGUGGAGCCUGCGGUUUAAUUGGACUCAACGCCGGACAACUCACCGGGACGACAGCAAUAUGUAGGCCAGGCUGAAGACCUUGCCUGAAUCGCUGAGAGGAGGUGCAUGGCGUAGUCGUGU